rnacentral:rRNA from 1 species
UACGUAGGGUGCAAGCGUUGUCCGGAAUUAUUGGGCGUAAAGAGCUUGUAGGCGGUUUGUCGCGUCUGCUGUGAAAUUUCGGGGCUCAACCCCGAACUUGCAGUGGGUACGGGCAGACUAGAGUGUGGUAGGGGAGACUGGAAUUCCUGGUGUAGCGGUGAAAUGCGCAGAUAUCAAGUGGAACACCAGUGGCGAAGGCGAGUCUCUGGACAUUUCCUGACGCUGAGGCACGAAAGCCAGGGGAGCAAACGGG